GGUAGCAUGCUUGUCUGAGUGUCUGUGGAUCCCACUCAGCGCUGGCUUCGCGCUGGCUGCUGGUCUUUUGGCCGUGACUGAACUUGUUUAGUCUCGGCUUAAGUUUUACGUCAAGUACGUGCAUAGAUCUAGAAAGCUCUGCCCGUCUAGUUAAAAACACGGCGCUGACACUCUUGUCUAUCUCUGGUAGGUUUAUUCAACUGGAGUUUGCUAGGAGUCGUCUGUAGCUGUUUUGAAACUAAUGGAAUGAGCGGUUUUAGAUCUAACUAGCUGGAAACAGUUAGUUAUACAAUUCCGGAUCUCAGAUCAAGCAAGAGGACCCGCCGAAUUUAAGCAUAUAAUUAAGCGGAGGAAAAGAAACUAACUAGGAUUCCCUCAGUAACGGCGAGUGAAGCGGGACUAGCUCAGGAUGUGAAUCUGCGCUUUUAUGGCGCCGAAUUGUGGUCUGUAGACUUUGACAUUAUUUGCCGGGCCAAGUUCCUUGGAAAAGGACAGCUGAGAGGGUGACACUCCCGUCCGCCUGGUAAAGUGAGUCAUUUGUCAACGAGUCGAGUUGUUUGGGAUUGCAGCUCUAAUUUGGUGGUAAAUUCCAUCUAAAGCUAAAUAUUGGUGGGAGACCGAUAGCGUACAAGUACCGUGAGGGAAAGAUGCAAAGAACUUUGAAAAGAGAGUUAAAGAGUACCUGAAACUGCUGAAACGGAAGCGAAGGAAACCAGUGUUUGUUUGUUCAUAUUUCCCUGGCCACUUGUGGUCUGGGCGCUGUGGACUUGCGUGAGUUUGGGUUGGUUGAUCCCUUUGG
rnacentral:rRNA from 1 species